rnacentral:rRNA from 1 species
GGUUAAGCGACUAAGCGUACACGGUGGAUGCCCUGGCAGUCAGAGGCGAUGAAGGACGUGCUAAUCUGCGAUAAGCGUCGGUAAGGUGAUAUGAACCGUUAUAACCGGCGAUUUCCGAAUGGGGAAACCCAGUGUGAUUCGUCACACUAUCAUUAACUGAAUCCAUAGGUUAAUGAGGCGAACCGGGGGAACUGAAACAUCUAAGUACCCCGAGGAAAAGAAAUCAACCGAGAUUCCCCCAGUAGCGGCGAGCGAACGGGGAGCAGCCCAGAGCCUGAAUCAGUGUGUGUGUUAGUGGAAGCGUCUGGAAAGGCGCGCGAUACAGGGUGACAGCCCCGUACACAAAAAUGCACAUGCUGUGAGCUCGAUGAGUAGGGCGGGACACGUGGUAUCCUGUCUGAAUAUGGGGGGACCAUCCUCCAAGGCUAAAUACUCCUGACUGACCGAUAGUGAACCAGUACCGUGAGGGAAAGGCGAAAAGAACCCCGGCGAGGGGAGUGAAAAAGAACCUGAAACCGUGUACGUACAAGCAGUGGGAGCACAGAGCAAUCUGUGUGACUGCGUACCUUUUGUAUAAUGGGUCAGCGACUUAUAUUCUGUAGCAAGGUUAACCGAAUAGGGGAGCCGAAGGGAAACCGAGUCUUAACUGGGCGUUAAGUUGCAGGGUAUAGACCCGAAACCCGGUGAUCUAGCCAUGGGCAGGUUGAAGGUUGGGUAACACUAACUGGAGGACCGAACCGACUAAUGUUGAAAAAUUAGCGGAUGACUUGUGGCUGGGGGUGAAAGGCCAAUCAAACCGGGAGAUAGCUGGUUCUCCCCGAAAGCUAUUUAGGUAGCGCCUCGUGAAUUCAUCUCCGGGGGUAGAGCACUGUUUCGGCAAGGGGGUCAUCCCGACUUACCAACCCGAUGCAAACUGCGAAUACCGGAGAAUGUUAUCACGGGAGACACACGGCGGGUGCUAACGUCCGUCGUGAAGAGGGAAACAACCCAGACCGCCAGCUAAGGUCCCAAAGUCAUGGUUAAGUGGGAAACGAUGUGGGAAGGCCCAGACAGCCAGGAUGUUGGCUUAGAAGCAGCCAUCAUUUAAAGAAAGCGUAAUAGCUCACUGGUCGAGUCGGCCUGCGCGGAAGAUGUAACGGGGCUAAACCAUGCACCGAAGCUGCGGCAGCGACGCUUAUGCGUUGUUGGGUAGGGGAGCGUUCUGUAAGCCUGUGAAGGUGUACUGUGAGGUAUGCUGGAGGUAUCAGAAGUGCGAAUGCUGACAUAAGUAACGAUAAAGCGGGUGAAAAGCCCGCUCGCCGGAAGACCAAGGGUUCCUGUCCAACGUUAAUCGGGGCAGGGUGAGUCGACCCCUAAGGCGAGGCCGAAAGGCGUAGUCGAUGGGAAACAGGUUAAUAUUCCUGUACUUGGUGUUACUGCGAAGGGGGGACGGAGAAGGCUAUGUUGGCCGGGCGACGGUUGUCCCGGUUUAAGCGUGUAGGCUGGUUUUCCAGGCAAAUCCGGAAAAUCAAGGCUGAGGCGUGAUGACGAGGCACUACGGUGCUGAAGCAACAAAUGCCCUGCUUCCAGGAAAAGCCUCUAAGCAUCAGGUAACAUCAAAUCGUACCCCAAACCGACACAGGUGGUCAGGUAGAGAAUACCAAGGCGCUUGAGAGAACUCGGGUGAAGGAACUAGGCAAAAUGGUGCCGUAACUUCGGGAGAAGGCACGCUGAUAUGUAGGUGAAGUCCCUCGCGGAUGGAGCUGAAAUCAGUCGAAGAUACCAGCUGGCUGCAACUGUUUAUUAAAAACACAGCACUGUGCAAACACGAAAGUGGACGUAUACGGUGUGACGCCUGCCCGGUGCCGGAAGGUUAAUUGAUGGGGUUAGCGCAAGCGAAGCUCUUGAUCGAAGCCCCGGUAAACGGCGGCCGUAACUAUAACGGUCCUAAGGUAGCGAAAUUCCUUGUCGGGUAAGUUCCGACCUGCACGAAUGGCGUAAUGAUGGCCAGGCUGUCUCCACCCGAGACUCAGUGAAAUUGAACUCGCUGUGAAGAUGCAGUGUACCCGCGGCAAGACGGAAAGACCCCGUGAACCUUUACUAUAGCUUGACACUGAACAUUGAGCCUUGAUGUGUAGGAUAGGUGGGAGGCUUUGAAGUGUGGACGCCAGUCUGCAUGGAGCCGACCUUGAAAUACCACCCUUUAAUGUUUGAUGUUCUAACGUUGACCCGUAAUCCGGGUUGCGGACAGUGUCUGGUGGGUAGUUUGACUGGGGCGGUCUCCUCCUAAAGAGUAACGGAGGAGCACGAAGGUUGGCUAAUCCUGGUCGGACAUCAGGAGGUUAGUGCAAUGGCAUAAGCCAGCUUGACUGCGAGCGUGACGGCGCGAGCAGGUGCGAAAGCAGGUCAUAGUGAUCCGGUGGUUCUGAAUGGAAGGGCCAUCGCUCAACGGAUAAAAGGUACUCCGGGGAUAACAGGCUGAUACCGCCCAAGAGUUCAUAUCGACGGCGGUGUUUGGCACCUCGAUGUCGGCUCAUCACAUCCUGGGGCUGAAGUAGGUCCCAAGGGUAUGGCUGUUCGCCAUUUAAAGUGGUACGCGAGCUGGGUUUAGAACGUCGUGAGACAGUUCGGUCCCUAUCUGCCGUGGGCGCUGGAGAAUUGAGGGGGGCUGCUCCUAGUACGAGAGGACCGGAGUGGACGCAUCACUGGUGUUCGGGUUGUCAUGCCAAUGGCACUGCCCGGUAGCUAAAUGCGGAAGAGAUAAGUGCUGAAAGCAUCUAAGCACGAAACUUGCCCCGAGAUGAGUUCUCCCUGACUCCUUGAGAGUCCUGAAGGAACGUUGAAGACGACGACGUUGAUAGGCCGGGUGUGUAAGCGCAGCGAUGCGUUGAGCUAACCGGUACUAAUGAACCGUGAGGCUUAACCUU